rnacentral:tRNA from 1 species
GGGAUUGUGGCUCAGUGGCAGAGCACGUGCCUUGCACGUAUGAGGCACUGUGUUCAAUUCUCAGCACCA